rnacentral:lncRNA from 1 species
GGCAAAGUGAAGUCAGCUGUAACGGCAGGUCUGGGUUUCCUGUCUGCUGUGAUGAAUAACCCUCUGGUUCUGGAGUGUAGAAAAUGCAUCUGUCUUCUGGUGCAGAAAUAUGAAGGUGGUGGGUUGGACCACAGAAAGAAAGCUAAAAAAAGAAAAGAACCAGGAAAUUCUUCCAGAAUGACUAUGCAAUGUAGACUUGACUUGGUUCAUCAAAUAGCUUGGAUCUCUUAGAAGAUACGGGAAUCCAAUUAAAUGAUAAAAGUCCUAAAAUAUUUACAAAGAAAAUAUGCAGCUCAAUAAGAGAUUAUUAAAUAUAAUGUGCCACACACAUGUCUAAUUUUGUUCUUCCAGUGGCAGACGGUAAACAGGAUGUUGAGAAACUGAGAUUGGGGUCUCUCAGUCUGCAGGAGCUUCUUCACGGGGGACGGUUGUAAACAGGAACUCUGCCAGGCGUCCUGGGCUGGGGACCCUGUGAUCUCUUUCGGCAUUUCCUGAAGUUUUUCAUCUGGAACAGGCUGACUCCGAUGUCAUCCCAGAACCUGUCCUUUAUGCCUGAAAGAGCUAGAAGGAUUGGAGGCACAGACCAGCCCACGAAGACUAAAAUGUUUACUAUCUAGC